AGGGCCACUACCUUACUCCACUCGCUGCAAUGGAUUCCACACAGUUCCACCACUCUCUGACAAGCCACGACAAAAGCCGCCAUCCUGCUCCACUCGCUGCAAUGGAUUCCAUGCAGCCCCACCUCUCUUUGGCAAGUCCCGAUAAUGGACACCACUCCACUCUCUACAACUAGCUCCACGUGGCCCUGAACAACCCCUGAUGCCACUACUCUCCGUAACAAACUCCACGCGGCU
rnacentral:lncRNA from 1 species